rnacentral:rRNA from 1 species
AACACAUGCAAGUCGAGCGAGAAGCCUUUUCAAGACUCUUCNGGAUGAUUUUAAAGGUGGAAAGCGGCGGACGGGUGAGUAACGCGUGGGCAACCUGCCUUAUACAGGGGGAUAACACCGGGAAACCGAUGCUAAUACCGCAUAACACAUAGAUAUCGCAUGGUAUUUAUGUCAAAGGAGAAAUCCGGUAUAAGAUGGGCCCGCGUCCAAUUAGCUAGUUGGUGGGGUAGAGGCCUACCAAGGCGACGAUUGGUAGCCGAACUGAGAGGUUGAUCGGCCACAUUGGGACUGAGACACGGCCCAGACUCCUACGGGAGGCAGCAGUGGGGAAUAUUGCGCAAUGGGGGGAACCCUGACGCAGCAACGCCGCGUGAAGGAUGAAGGUCUUCGGAUCGUAAACUUCUUUGAUUGGGGAAGAAGCAGUGACGGUACCCAAAGAACAAGCCACGGCUAACUACGUGCCAGCAGCCGCGGUAAUACGUAGGUGGCAAGCGUUGUCCGGAAUUACUGGGUGUAAAGGGCGUGUAGGCGGGGAUGCAAGUCAGAUGUGAAAAUCCGUGGCUCAACUGCGGAACUGCAUCUGAAACUGUAUCUCUUGAGUGCUGGAGAGGGAAGUGGAAUUCCUAGUGUAGCGGUGAAAUGCGUAGAGAUUAGGAAGAACACCAGUGGCGAAGGCGGCUUCCUGGACAGUAAACUGACGCUGAGGCGCGAAAGCGUGGGGAGCGAACAGGAUUAGAUACCCUGGUAGUCCACGCCGUAAACGAUGGAUACUAGGUGUAGGAGGUAUCGACCCCUUCUGUGCCGGAGUUAACACAAUAAGUAUCCCACCUGGGGA